AUUGAACGCUGGCGGCAGGCUUAACACAUGCAAGUCGAGCGAGCGGCGGACGGGUGAGUAACGUCUGUGACACUGCCUGAUGGAGGGGGUUAAUUACUGGAAACGGUAGUUAAUACCGCAUACCUUCAGAUUUGUCCUGAAGGGAUUAGCUAGUAGGUGGGGUAAGGGCUCACCUAGGCGACGAUCACUAGCGGGUCUGGGAGGAUGACGAGCCACACGGGAACUGAGACACGUCCCAGACGCCUACGGGAGGCAGCAGGGGGGAAUAUGGCACAAUGGGCGCAAGCCUGAUGCAGCCAUGCCGCGUGUGUGAAGAAGGCCUUCGGGUUGUAAAGCACUUUCAGCGAGGAGGCGUUACUCGCAGAAGAAGCACCGGCUAACUCCGUGCCAGCAGCCGCGGUAAUA
rnacentral:rRNA from 1 species